rnacentral:tRNA from 1 species
GUCAUCGUAGCUCAGAUGGAAGAGCGGUCCCCUGAAAAGGGACAGGUCCGAGGUUCGAUUCCUCGCGUUGGCA